GGGGUUGUGGCUCAGUGGUAGAGCCUCACACACUUCAUGUGUGAGGCCCUGGGUUUGAUCCUCAGCGCCACA
rnacentral:tRNA from 1 species